GGGAGUAGAUAGGUUCUGGUGUUCCUGGCGGUCUUCAAAACCGUUCUGCCGUGCUAAGACCAUGACGGGUGGGUUCGAUUCCCACAUAUUCCCGCCA
rnacentral:tRNA from 3 species